UACGUAGGGUGCGAGCGUUAUUCGGAUUUACUGGGCGUAAAGCGUGCGCAGGCGGUUUUGUAAGUCCGAUGUGAAAUCCCCGGGCUUAACCUGGGAAUGGCAUUUGGGACUGCAAGGCUUGAGUGCGGCAGAGGAGACUGGAAUUCCUGGUGUAGCAGUGAAAUGCGUAGAUAUCAGGAGGAAUACCGAUGGCGAAGGCAGGUCUCUGGGAUGGCACUGACGCUGAUGCGCGAAAGCGUGGGGAGCAAACAGG
rnacentral:rRNA from 1 species